UCUAUUCUGAUUCUGAUUCUCGGUCUGAUUCUAAAGCCUGUGUUCUUACCCAUUAGACCACACUGCCUAUGUGAAAUACAGCUUUCAAUGUGGCUCUGAGGGAUUAACAUGACGAUAGACAAGUGCUUAGCCCAGUUGCCUGACAUGCCAUUAGUGCUCGUUGAUUGCUGAUUACGAAAAGAAAAUAAGCAAAAAAAAUUUUUUUAACUAUCGGAAAGUUUGUCUUUGAUCUUCAAGGAGUUAGGUUAUCUGCUCUGAUGGUUUUUUUCCCUUGCAAACUGGUAUCCCAUUUUUUCAUUUGCACAUUCAGUUAAUGUGUCUACUGAAUGUGUUCUGUAGGCUUAUCACAGUGCGAGGCACUUGGUAUGUGAAGAUGAGCUGGAUACGGUCCCUCCCCUCAAGGAACAGAGUGAGGGUGUGGGAUGGAUUCAUUCUCUCCAAGUUCUGGGAGAUUCUGAGAAAUGGCACUGGAAUUGUCGGCCACUUGGGGUCUGGUUGAACGGAUGGGACAGGAUGAAAAUCUAGUGGAUUAGGAGUGUUUAUUUCCCAUUUGUGAGGCAAACCAAGUAAGAAGGUAGUUAUAAGGAGCUGUAAAUUUUUAUUUCGUUCUCUCCAGAAACUUUUCCCUUUCUGACACAGCCUUAUCUGUAUUCCACCUAGGGCCACAAUAGACACCAUUACAGUUCUCAGUUACCCUAGGUACCAGGUUUGGCGCAGGACUAGCAUAUGAUACUAGGAGAGCCAAUCUCAGCCCUUCCCUGGGGCUAAGUAUGGGGGAAAGCGACUCUCACUGGCUCUGGUGGUGACAAAGGCCGUGCUGGACAGGAAGUAUCACACUAAUACCCAGCAUCUAUUAGGUGUCAACACCAAGGCCAGUGUUUACCCCAUGCUGCUGGACACUGCCUUUGAGUGAAAUUGCUUCAGCCUCACAACCACCCUGUAAGAUGAUGCUAUUACAAAAUAUCAUAUGAAGAGGUGAUCAGAAUAUGCAGGCAAAAAGUACAAGGAACAGAGUAUGAUAGAGAUGUUUCAGGCUGUUAAUUAUCAAUGAAUUGUUAAUGGAUCCAUUAUUAAUUAAUAAAAAGUAUGUUGUCGUUUGGA